GUUCUUGUUGGAGCUUUAAAUAAGCCAUGCUAAUUUCGAUUACUGUAUGACGAUUCUUUUUUGUUAUAUUCUGAGGGAACU